GAGAGACGCUGGCGGCGCGCCUAACACAUGCAAGUCGAGCGGAGAUAUACGAAGAGUAAUCCGAGUAUAUCUUAGCGGCGGACGGGUGAGUAACGCGUAGGCAACCUGCCCCGUGCAGAGGGACAGCCUCGGGAAACCGGGAUUAAGACCUCAUGAUAUCGGGUUAUCACAUGGUAAUCCGGUCAAAGAUUUAUCGGCAUGGGAUGGGCCUGCGUCUGAUUAGCUGGUUGGUGGGGUAACGGCCUACCAAGGCGACGAUCAGUAGCAGAACUGAGAGGUUCAUCUGCCACAUUGGAACUGAGACACGGUCCAAACUCCUACGGGGAGGCAGCAGGUGGGGUAAUUUUGGACAAUGGGGCGCAAGCCUGAUCCAGCAAUGCCGCGUGCAGGAUGAAGGCCGUUCGGGUUAGUAAACUUUCUUUUAUCGUGGGACGAAAAAAGGGGAAUUCUUUCCCACUUGACGGUACCAGAGGAAUAAGCACCGGCUAACUCCGUG
rnacentral:rRNA from 1 species